GGCGGGGGGGUGGGGGCGCCCAGGGUGGAGGAAGCCCCGCGCGGGCCCCACCGGGAGCGAGCACUGCCGUCAGCUCAUUUUAUCCUCAACAACCCGGAAACUUGGCGCUGCUUUCCUGUUUUACCGAUGAGGAAGGCCAUUUUAGCCACUGGUGCCAAUGCCUUCAACUUUUAAACCCAGUGCCAUCCAAUUCUCAAGCCCAAUACUGACCAAGGCCUGAGAUGAAGGAAGCUACUGCUGAGAUUUUAGCAAGUCUUACGGCUGAGUCCAUCAGAGCUGUGACAUAAAGGUACCUGGCACAGCAAUGCAAUGCUCAGUAAAUGCUAGGUCUUUUCUUUCUCUCGUAUCAAGUCGAUUUAAGCUUGCUCUACUUACCUGGUGUACACAAUCUAAGAACUGUAGGAAGACUGGAGUGAAACCACUGCCCUGACAGCUGAGGGUCAAGCUGCUCCGCUGACUGAAUUUAUGACCAAAAGAGAGCCACUCUUUUUCGACCAGCAUCCGGAAGCCUUCAAGUGUCCUAUAAAAGGGGUCACUGAGUAACUGAACCAGGGAGGUCACCUAGGGUACAAGCAGGUUGGAUACUUCAUUACUUUCAGUCCUGAAAAAUUCCUGCUUCUAAGACAAAGCACUUCCUUUUGAUGACUGACAGCUAAUUAACAAGCAAAGUUACCUGGAUGGCAAAUUUGUUCACUAACUGCUCCAGGACAGCUAAGUGAAUUAAUUCUACAAACUUUCCAUUAAAAACUGAGACUCAAAUUCAUUUUGGCUACAUUUUCCUUCAGAGGAGAAUUAAGAAUUUAAUCCUUGCCUGGCCAGUUUGCUGACUGUGGCCUUCUUCUAGGUUAAUUAAUAAGGUCAGAGGAUCAGUUCAAACCUACAUCUACUUUUUGGCAGAUGUAGAUUAAUGUUUUACUGUAGAUUAUACUCGUACUUUUCCUUUUCACUCUGGAGUGAGUAAAGAAGGGGCUUACAGAGAACCAGAGAAAGGACUGACAAAACAUGGGAAGGAUGGUCCAUGUCCUACACCGCUGGUCAUGCUUGCAUGAUGCUUCUGUGGUGUGGGAGCCUGAUGCCCUGAGCCAGAGCUCCAGGCUCUGUAGGGCCUGGAAACUCACGGCACAGAGCUUUUUGAUGGAUACCAGGUGGUGUUUAACAGAGGACUUUCUCUGUCCAUAAACACAUUAGUCAUUAUACAAAAGAUUCAUCUGCAGAAUUUUAAAAUAACUGAAUUAAAAUACAAAUAUAAAAUUAAAUAUCUGAAAAUAUGUUUUAAUAAUUUACUUGUGCAGUGAUGUCCCAGCCUUCUUCCAAACACACCAAAACUGAGG